rnacentral:lncRNA from 1 species
CCUUAAUCAAUUGUGUAUUGCACACUUAUAUUGUAUAUUUAUGUAAAUAAUGGGAAUUUUAUGAGAUUAUGAUGUAUAUUUAAUUAAUUUGUUGUCUUGCCAAUCAUAGUAAUAGGGGAAUAGAUCUGUUCAUGAUUUUCAUACAGUUGUCUUGUUAAGAUGGAUAAUAUUUAAGUCAAAGGGCCACAUCAGAUAGAGGCUGAUAAAUCAUUGGAUUUGUGCUACACUAAGUUUUUGUAAUUAGUAAUUUUUUAAAGACCUUG